rnacentral:rRNA from 1 species
UACAGGUAGCACGAGUGGUGUCCACGUAUAUUGAGUCUAAAGCGUCCGUAGCCGGAUUGGCAAAUCUUCUGUGAAAUCCUACAGCUCAACUGAAGGACUUGCAGGGAGACUACCAGUCUAGGAAUGGGGAGUACUGGGUACUACAGGGGACGUAAAAUGUUGUAAUCCUUGUAGGACCACCAGUGGCGAAAGCGCAGUACCAAGGACACGUUCGACGGUGAGGGACGAAGGCUAGGGGAGCAAACC